UUACAAUCUUUUAUUGAAGAGCUGGAAUAGUUUCUCUAGCAAUUAGGAGUCAACCCAUGCUCCAACUGGGCCUAUUUGCAAGAAUUAAUUUUUGAAAUCGACAGCAUGAUCAAUUCAUGUUUGUUGAUUGGAUAACACAAGUAGUAAACAUAUAUUAGGGUUAGAACAUUUGAUGAAAUAUCUUUUGACCAUAGCCAAAUAUUAUUUUUGACAAUUUAACUAGAAGAAUUAGGCAUACUUCUCAUUACAG
rnacentral:misc_RNA from 1 species